GAGUUUGAUCAUGGCUCAGGAUGAACGCUAGCGGCAGGCUUAACACAUGCAAGUCGAGGGGUAUUCUAGCAAUAGGAGAGACCGGCGCACGGGUGCGUAACGCGUAUGCAAUCUACCUUUCACAGAGGGAUAGCCCAGAGAAAUUUGGAUUAAUACCUCAUAGUAUAAUGACUCGGCAUCGAGAUAUUAUUAAAGUCACAACGGUGAAAGAUGAGCAUGCGUCCCAUUAGCUAGUUGGUAAGGUAACGGCUUACCAAGGCGACGAUGGGUAGGGGUCCUGAGAGGGAGAUCCCCCACACUGGUACUGAGACACGGACCAGACUCCUACGGGAGGCAGCAGUGAGGAAUAUUGGACAAUGGGCGCAAGCCUGAUCCAGCCAUGCCGCGUGCAGGAUGACGGUCCUAUGGAUUGUAAACUGCUUUUGCACAGGAAGAAACACCCCCUCGUGAGGGGGCUUGACGGUACUGUGAGAAUAAGGAUCGGCUAACUCCGUGCCAGCAGCCGCGGUAAUAC
rnacentral:rRNA from 1 species